UACGAAGGGGGCUAGCAUUGUUCGGAAUUACUGGGCGUAAAGCGCGCGCAGGCGGCCUUCCAAGUCAGUGGUGAAAGCCCGGAGCUCAACUCCGGAACUGCCAUUGAAACUGUGAGACUUGAGUACGAGAGAGGUGAGUGGAAUUCCCAGUGUAGAGGUGAAAUUCGUAGAUAUUGGGAAGAACACCGGUGGCGAAGGCGGCUCACUGGCUCGUAACUGACGCUCAGGCGCGACAGCGUGGGGAUCAAACAGG
rnacentral:rRNA from 1 species